UGCCGGAUGCUUGUCGGCAGGUUAAUACUCAACUCCGUCAGGUCCGGAAGGAAGCAGCGGUCGGUAUUUAAUCUGGGUGGCAAGUUUUCCGGCUUUU
rnacentral:SRP_RNA from 1 species